AAGUUGAAUCAAAGAAGGUAAUAAUCCUGUAGUCGAAAAUAUAUACUCUCUUGAGUGGAUCCUGAGUACGACGGAGCACGUGAAAUUCCGUCGGAAUCUGGGAGGACCAUCUCCUCAGGCUAAAUACUCUCUAGUGACCGAUAGUGAACCAGUACCGUGAGGGAAAGGUGAAAAGUACCCCGGAAGGGGAGUGAAAGAGA
rnacentral:rRNA from 1 species